rnacentral:rRNA from 1 species
GACGAACGCUGGCGGCGUGCUUAACACAUGCAAGUCGAACGAAGAGCGAUGGAAGCUUGCUUCUCUCAAUCUUAGUGGCGCACGGGUGAGUAACGCGUAAUCAACCUGCCCUUCAGAGGGGGACAACAGUUGGAAACGACUGCUAAUACCGCAUACGAUCUAAUCUCGGCAUCGAGGAUAGAUGAAAGGUGGCCUCUACAUGUAAGCUAUCACUGAAGGAGGGGAUUGCGUCUGAUUAGCUAGUUGGAGGGGUAACGGCCCACCAAGGCGAUGAUCAGUAGCCGGUCUGAGAGGAUGAACGGCCACAUUGGGACUGAGACACGGCCCAGACUCCUACGGGAGGCAGCAGUGGGGAAUCUUCCGCAAUGGACGAAAGUCUGACGGAGCAACGCCGCGUGAGUGAUGACGGCCUUCGGGUUGUAAAGCUCUGUUAAUCGGGACGAAAGGCCUUCUUGCGAAUAGUGAGAAGGAUUGACGGUACCGGAAUAGAAAGCCACGGCUAACUACGUG